GCCCGAAUUUUUCAGUUGAUUAGAGUGUGAUGCUGAUAACACCAAGGUUGUAGGUUCGAUCCCUGUAUGGGGCA